GUCUACGGCCAUGCCACCCUGAACAAGCCUGAUCCCGUCUGAUCUCAGAAGCUAAGCAGGGUCAGACCUGGUUAGUACUUGGAUGGGAGACCAGGUGUUGUAGGUG
rnacentral:rRNA from 1 species